UUCUAGAGCAUUCAAGAGGUUUGUUUGUGACUUGCAGCUGUAAAGAUUGAAGGAAAUUGCAAUCCACUGAUAUUUUUAAAUAGAUGACAUUUACUCACAUGUCUUACAGUUGAUUUUUCUGCUAAUACACACUAGAAGCAACAUCAUGAUUUGAACAAAUCGUCGUUUGCAUUAUGAAUAAUACAUAAAAACUGUUUGGGAAAUCUUUGAGAUCGACAUUGAAAUGCUUGUUGUGGCAAAUGAUUCAUAACAAAAAUUCAUUUAACUUGGAAAUUCACAAGUGCCGGCGCUACCGCGCUUAACGAUGUGGCAUUAUGGACUUGCCGACAUACAUAUUGUGGAAUAUGUGCAUUCAUGAAGGAAAUAACAAGGAUGCUCUGCAAUUCCUACAGUGAAUGAAACAAUAUGGACUUGCCGAUAUACAUAUUGUGGAACAUGUGCAUUCUUGAAAGAAAUAACGAGGGUGAUGCUCUACAAAUCGUACAGUGAAUCAAACAAUGUGGACUUGUCGACAUGCAUAUUGGGAAAUAUGUGCAUUCCUGAAGAAAAUAACUUGACAAGCAAUCGUGGGCCCUAACUGAAGAGAACCAUUUCAAAGAAUGGAACCAAUGUAUUCUUACCGUAGGAUUUCAAAGAGGCUGCUGCUUUUAUUAAAUUUGAAAUAAUCCUCACUCGAACAAUACAAUAUACCUUUGGUGCAUUUGGUGCAAAUGGAUUGGCUUGAAUAACUAAACACGUCAAGACGAGAACUGUUGGAAGAAAGCCAGGCAAAUCAGAGGAUGUAUGAUGACAAAUCCUAGAAUUACUAGUAAAUGGCUACCUAAUCAAAGACUUUAUAUCAAAUAUAUAGAAUACCGGCAAUGCAAAACAAGAAUAUUAGAAAAACAUCAUCAGCUAUGAA